UACGAAGGGUGCAAACGUUGCUCGGAAUUAUUGGGCGUAAAGCGCACGUAGGCGGCUUGGCAAGUCGGAUGUGAAAUCCCUCGGCUCAACCAAGGAAGUGCAUCCGAAACUGCUGAGCUUGAGUACGAAAGAGGAUCGCAGAAUUCCCGGUGUAGAGGUGAAAUUCGUAGAUAUCGGGAGGAACACCGGUGGCGAAGGCGGCGAUCUGGGUCGAUACUGACGCUGAGGUGCGAAAGCGUGGGGAGCGAACGGG
rnacentral:rRNA from 1 species